rnacentral:rRNA from 1 species
GGGUCAGUAGGUUGGUCGUGCCACCGGUACGUACUGGUCUCACUGAUUCCUCCUUCCUGAAGAACCGUAAUGCCAUUAAUUUGGCGUUGCGGGGAAACAGGACUGUUACUUUGAAGAAAUUAGAGUGUUUAAAGCAAGCUAACGCUUGAAUACAUUAGCAUGGAAUAAUGAAAUAGGACGAUCGAUCCUAUUUUGUUGGUUUCUAGGAUUGACGUA